AGUGAACGCUGGCGGUAGGCCUAACACAUGCAAGUCGAACGGCAGCACAGUAAGAGCUUGCUCUUACGGGUGGCGAGUGGCGGACGGGUGAGGAAUACAUCGGAAUCUACUUUUUCGUGGGGGAUAACGUAGGGAAACUUACGCUAAUACCGCAUACGACCUACGGGUGAAAGCAGGGGAUCUUCGGACCUUGCGCGAUUGAAUGAGCCGAUGUCGGAUUAGCUAGUUGGCGGGGUAAAGGCCCACCAAGGCGACGAUCCGUAGCUGGUCUGAGAGGAUGAUCAGCCACACUGGAACUGAGACACGGUCCAGACUCCAACGGGAGGCAGAAGUGGGGAAUAUUGGACAAUGGGCGCAAGCCUGAUCCAGCCAUACCGCGUGGGUGAAGAAGGCCUUCGGGUUGUAAAGCCCUUUUGUUGGGAAAGAAAAGCAGCAGGUUAAUACCCCGCUGUUCGGACGGUACCCAAAGAAUAAGCACCGGCGAACUGCGG
rnacentral:rRNA from 1 species